rnacentral:tRNA from 1 species
ACAGUGGUGGUCCAAUGGUAAGAUUCCCGCCUUCUAUGCGGGAGACCCAGGUUUGGUUCUUGGCCAAUGCA